AAAAAUAAAAAGGAGGAGGGAAAGAAGAAAAAGGGGAAUUUUUGGUGCUACGGGCUGCCCCGGGGUCCCUGAAGUGUCUCCCUGCCAAAGGGGCUGGCUCUCAUAGCAUCUCCCAGAGGGUUUGGUGGUACCCUGGAAGGACUCGCCCAUGGAUUGGCAGCUGCUGUAGCCAUGGUGAUGGAGGGAGAGAGCCGAGACAGCACAGAAAUGUCACCGCCUGGCAGGGAGAUAUUUGGGGCAAAUGUUCGGGCGAUUAGAUCUGUGUCACCGGGUGCUGCCCAGCUCCUCGCGCCGCUUUUUGCUGCUCUUGAAGCCGUUUAGCGGUGACUUGGCUGAGGAGGUUAUCUUGAACACGCUGCUGUCCAGAAACUGCCAGCGUUUGAAGGCGGGGGGGAUGUUUGGGUUGCCCAUUUUGACCUGAUUUCCCAGAGGGGUUUCCCCGGAGAAGGUCUCCGCUGGAAGUGGUUGGGGUUUGGCCAUUUGUAACAGUCAGGAAGAUUCUUGGAAACCAAACAAGCAGCAUCGGUCAUGGCAGUGAAUAGGGUGAUGGCCUCAAAACAUGGGGCUGGGAGGCCAAGCAGGGCACUGAACAGACACAGGGAUGGGCAACAGCUGUGGGUCCUCACCAGAUCAAACUUUUCCUGCUCUGGCCUUAUUACCCCAUGCCCAAACCAGAAGAUGCUGUAGGGACAUCUGCAGGUGCCACCUGGUUUCCUUUACAACCCACCACCAAGGAGACUGGGCAGGUCUUUGUGUCCAAGCGCUCCCCAAAUCUCGUUGCUUGGACCACAAGCUGGAGAGUGGAUGAGCAGAGCUGCAAGGUGGCUUGCUUCUUCCCAGCUGAAAUAUCUGACAAAUAGGGCCAGUAAUGAAAAGCUGCAACAAACUGCUGCCCUCCAAUGGCCUUGCUGUGCUGGAGCUGAGGAGGAGAAGAGCUGGAGUCUGACCUUUGAGAUGAGCCUGAGUCCACUGGUGGUACAAGGGUGGUGGCACCAGCACCUACACAACCGGCGCCCAGUCUCUUCCUGGGGUGAGAAGGGAAGGGAGUGGGGAGAAGAGGAACUCAGUCUCCAGCAGCCUCGCAAAAUAAAUACAAGCUGCACCUUGCUGGUUAUUCACAGCAUCCCUGUCCCAUUAGGUACCCAGACAGCCAAAAUGAAGGUCCGGAUCCCGCCCUGGAGGAGUUUUGUUUCUCAAACUGAAGAUGCAGCAGGCUGCAGAGGCGGGGAACAGGGGGCUGUGGGGUUUAUUCAGAUGUGGAGGUGCUCAAAUUUGGCUGGCCUGGCCUGGCCAUCAGCAGAGAACUGGGCCACCUUCAGCAGCACAAGGAUGACACCAAGCACCACAGACAGCUGCAGAACGACAGCAGAAGGUCUGGCUAUGUUGUCCAGCAGAGACACCAUGCUGGCCCUGCAUCCGGGAUGCCUGACACUGCCUUCUCCUGGCUGCUGCUCUUCAGCUCCUCCUGUGCCUGAUGGGGAGCUGGGUGCAGGUAAAAAUCCUCUCCCUCCUGCUCUGCUGGAGCUGAGCCUGGUGAAGCACUGCUGGCAGCAAUUUAUAGCAGCAGGAACAUCACGGUAAGCCAUGCAUCGGUUUGGCCGGCAGCCCAAUUGCCUGCUGCUCCCCCCCACCCUUUGCCCUGCUCCCAGCAGCCUGUGGAUGCAGGCAGCUUGUUAACAAACAACCUGUACGCGUUUGCCACUUUCUCUGAAGCCCCACACAGCCCAGCAGUGAGGGAAAGCACUUGCAGUCGUCCAUUCCCGGGUAGAUGAAGCCAUAGGAGGUAAGAAGAGCCAGGCUGAGCUCUAGCUAAGCUCCGUGCUGUCCUCAGACAAAUUCAGGUCUGGCAGCCAUUCAUCAGCCUGCAUGAAGUGAGGAACAAAUGGGCCACCUUUGCCAAACACACAGGCUGGAUGGAUCCGGCUGCCUCCAGCUGUAAAAACAGUGAUCUGAGUGACUGCAACAUCACUUGGACUAUGGCUGGACUACAAUCCAGAGAACGGACAUAACCCAAUCAGCACACAAGGGACUGUGGCCCUGCUCUCCAAGAGGUCCUACCGUAGACAAGCCAGGAGACAAAACUGUUGCCCAGAAGAAUUAUCAUGGUCAAUAGAUAAGACAGGGAGAGGGAGAGGAGCAGAGCAGUAAAAGGAGCUGCAGCAAGACUGAGGGCAUGUCUAACCUGAUAGAGAGAUGUGAUGGUAAGGCCAUGUUCCCUCCACAGUCCUGGUGCGUCCUCCUUCCCCUGUCUACACAGCAUCUCACCAUCCUCCAAAAAAGGCUCCACAUCACCACAUUUACCUCUCCAAUGCAGUGCUUGGUUGGGCCCCAGGUAGAACCCCUUCUAGCAAUCCCUGCACAGAUCCUGCUGGUUACCUGGCACAGAAGCCUGGAAUGGCUUGGAAUUGCAGGGUUAGUAAGCCUGCUGCGUGUGGGUGACUUCCAGGCAUACUGCAAAGAGUAGGAUCCCCAGAUGAGCUGAAAUAAUAUCCCAUUUGGGUGUUGGGAUAUUACGAAGACCAAAUGAGUUACCAGCUGCUGACGCUGGUAGAAAAAGUCUGAUGUGCUACUACAUAGGAAUUGCUGAAUUUUGUGGUGUUUCUCUUCAACUUGACAUGUCUCUGAGACAAGGGUCUUCUGAUGUUUAGGCACUUCCCUUUAGUUUUUAGUCUAAAUUAUGCCAUGGCCAACUGAAACCCAUGUUCUCUGCUAGUGGAGUCAUUUUACUGAAAAAAAUACUGUUUAUUUGGCAUUCAUUGUCCAGAUGUAUCCUUUUUAUAAUGAAAGAGACACUAAGAUUGCUGGCUGAAGUGAACGCAACCCCAGUGAAAAUAUUUAAACUUUUUAGACAGAAAGGAUACAUGAAAAAAUCUUACAAGAUCCAUUGUUUGGGAAUUACCUGACUCCACAAAAACGUCUGAAUGUUAAUGAAGUAACUUUUCCCUCAGCUGGCUUGUGGCCUAUUCGUUAAUUAAUGAUGGCAAAGACACAAGCCCUGGGUACACACAGUACCAUUUGUAUUUCAGUCUCAGGGACACUUAAAGCGUCUGGCUGCUACAACCCUUGCGAGAGGCUGUAGAUACAUUGCUCAUCCACUGUGGUAUGUUGGUCAUUGCAAACAGACUGAAGGUCGUGGUGUUUGCCAGUUUGAGUGUAGCAUGGGAAGGUGCCCAGCUGCGAAAGCUGGACUCAUCCUGCGCUCCUUGAGAGAAAAUUCAACAAACUACAGAAUUGCUUAGGUGUGGUGCAUGGCACUCCUCAAGAAGUGUUGCUAAAGCAACCCCCUUUUUGCUUGAAAUCUUUGCAUGCAACUUCUCUGAGCUCUCAACCCUUCUUGGGAGCUCACAGUGUAAAGCCCCAUAUCUCAGGGCAUUUGGGACAGUUUUACUCUGGAUCCGUGUGGAUUCCCUUGCUGAAAUGCAACAAUCUAAUUCAGCAUGGCUUUUUUUUCUCUUUAUGGGUGGGUACACUAGUGCAGAGAGCAGGAAGACUCUCUUGACCCUCUUUUCCAACACAGGCACCGCAAUGUUACCUGUGGGUCUUUGUAAGGGAGAGGACUUGUCCUCCCUGCCACACAGCUGGAGGAUAUUGAGUGCUGUUCAAAGACUCAGCCUCAUAGCUGAAUGGUUCAUAGAGGGACUUGGCAGGUUCAUGUGGCUCCACCUUCACGUCCCUUGGCGGGGUGUUUGACUGUGCAUCCCACUGCUGCUGACUCCUACUGGAAGUUCAGCUGUGGAUUUUCUGGGUAAACAUCGAUCCCUCUGCUGACAUUAGCUAGUGUGGUGGUAUGUGGUCUCUGUCAUGUGCAUCAUCACCUUGUUCUCAGGUUGUGAUAAGAUAUUUUGUAAAUGCUCAGGCAUGAUGUGUUGGAAGGGGCCGUUUCUAACAGUGGCCUCCAGCUCCAGCAGUGAUGAUAUUUCAGGAGCUUCUCACAUGCUUAUCCUGAGGUUGGCAGCCUGGACAUUUCCACAUAAGAUGGGACGAGAAUGCUGACAUUGAGACCCCUGCCCAUUGUGGGUACCCAGGGCACAAAAGGCACUGGGCAUGUCAGCUGGCCAACAGCCAGCUCCUACUGUGUUGAAGUUUGGGCUGAGGAGGGGGGUCUGUUCAUUACUUCUUCAAGCUGGUAGUAGAAGCCUGCUCUAGAAACACACUUUGCUCUUGAAAGACAUCAGCUCUAUGAUCUACUCUUAAUCUGUUCCUGGGCUGCAAAUACCCUUUUGCUAGUCUGCCAACAUUGUCUAUAGCGCUAAGUUUCUUCGGCACUUCCCUAGAAAUAAUGAUUGCAUAAGUUCCUUAGCUGGAUAAGGGGACCCGGUCAGCACUAUAGCUGUCCAUGUGGCACUGGUCUUUUGUUAACAUGGCAGGAAGAUGUGCUGCGAAGAGCCAGUGACCACAGCUGAAAAUCUCCUCUAUCUCCUCACUCAGGUGCUUUGGCUGGAAAAGCCUGGUCCUAGCACAUUUCUUGAGCUCCCCAGUGAGCACAUUUCUUGAGCUCCCCUCAAGUGGACCCCUGUAACCUACUUUAAGAUGGUGCUUUUGGUUCUUCAGACUGGGAAGAAGAGGAAGGAGGAGUUAUAACCUCUGGCUGGCAUUUGUCAUCUUGUUUUCUCCCCAUCACCACUGCUGACAUGCUGCAUCCUUUGGGCCACAGCCUGCUAAGUCAUUAGAACCACAUCAGUCAACAAUUUUAAAAUGUAAGGAACACGCUGACUCUCCAUGUGUUGCCUUGGAGAACAUCCCUGGCAGGCACUGCACUGCAUUAACUUUUCACACACUUGGCCAUCUUCAUGAGGCUAAGCGCACCUCGCUACGCCAAGCCAGCUGGAUCUGUGCGAAAGUUCAGGGCAGAGUUAAAGGUAGUUCUUUAGGGGGCAGAAGGCUGCAGUCUGUCAGGUUAGGCAUUUCUUAGGGAAGGCUUUGACUGUGGCCAGAGCAAGAUGUCUCACAGAUCUCACAGAUCUGCUGUGAGAACUUCACACUCCUGAGCAGGAGCACUGGACUCCAGGGACCUCACAGCCAUGGAAAGUGUAGGAGACACAUCUUGUUCCUCUAGCUUUUCCUGUGAUCCUCCACCUGUCCUGCAGCACCACGAUUAAUAGGCUUCCCAUCUGGAGAGGAGGCAGUGGAGUCUGGCUGGCUGGUUUGUUGGCCAGGUGGCUGGGAAGCAUGUGGGUUGCAGUUGUUCGGGAGGCUACUGCUGAGGUUUCUUGGCUACCUGAGGACCUGGAGAAGGAUGAACAUGCAGCACAAGGAGCCACUUUUGGCCUGAGCCAGAUCUGUGGUUUUGCAGGCUGCCUUGAAAAUGUGGGUCUGGCUUAAAUAGACUGGGCAGACAAAGGGUGUGGGGACAGUGAUAUUACCGUGUGCCUUCUCUUGUUACCAGAUGAGGUCACAGAGAGGAUUUGGACAGGUCUGCCAUGAUGCUUGGGAUUAAACUUGAAGCUAGGUUCAGUGAUGUAAGCUACAAGAGACCCCAUGCCCCAUCUGCAAGGCAUUAUGGGCUCUGCCCCAAAGCUGUCCAUCUUCCACAUUUUUUUUCCUCUCAGCCAGCUCUAAAAUGGCCUUUAGGCUCUUUCAGAGACCGCCCUCUAGGAAACAGCGCAUGGACACCUAACCUCUUGUCUGGUCUUGCCCGUGACUAUGGAUGGGAGAGAAGAGAAGAGGAUCUCCAUGGAGCUGAGGACAUUGGAAGGAGGGAUUGCUGCUGUGGGUCCCUCGUGUGAUGACCUGCAGCACACUCAUAAAUCCAGCAGUGUCAUAUGGUUGGGUGCCUUACAAGGGCCACGUAAGAAACACAAGGAAGAGCUGGGGGUUAAGCUGUUGGUUAGCACCAAUGGAGCUUUGGGGUGUCCUGUGGCACCUACCUAGUUACCAGACCGCCUGAUCUGGAUCUGGCAGGUAUCUUUCAGCAGUCACCUACAAAACAAUUCAGAAAUCCCCCAAGACCCAAAAGCAGAGGGGUCAAGCUGGUGAAAUUGUUGGCACAGCAUCACAUGAAACUUUUAUAAAAACACAGAAAUUCUCACUGGUGACAAAGUCCCUGGAUGAUGUGUCUGACCAUGGGUUACUGAGCAGGGUGGAUUUUUACCCAUCUGGCUCCCUGAUAGUUAUUUAAUAACCAGUAACCACUGUUGAGCAUGAAGCCAAGGGGAUAUGGGUUAUUUUGAAGGUCAAGUGAGAUGUCAAGCCUCUCAUUUGAGAUAGGGGAGACAUAGGGGACGGCAUGGCUAAACCCACAUUUGUAGGGAUUUGGAACAAGAAUCUGAGCUUGGGUGAUAGCAAAACUGGGUGCCUAAUCCAGUCUCUGCAUUUUCUGUUUCGCUGGUGGAGGGGAGAUAAACAUCUUUCUCGCCUAUUUCAGACAUUUCAUGGCAUGCACAUUUAGUCUGACACUCUUUAGGACAGCUUGGGUAUGGCAACUCAGGGUUUUUUUCAGGGGAAGAAAUGGUGAAAGUUCAAAAGAGAAAGUGAAGUGACCACAGAACCGAAAGUGGAGAAAAAUGAAAGGGGAUGGCACUGGUCUGGUCAUCAUAAGGGACUAGGACAAAGACAGAAGCAGUCUGCUUAGCACCAGGAGAACCUACAGCCCUGUUGCUCUCAGGCAUCCCAGCCGAAGUCAGGAGCCUCCAAAAGAUCUCAGCAUGAAGAAGCAUCUACAAGAGUCUCGUGAUAGCCAGAGUCAUCCGGGGAGUUUGGCAAGGUGAACAGAGUCUUGGCUUGACCCUCUGGACAUCUAAGGCUGGCAAAACUACAGCUGGGUGUUAAAGGACACUUGGAAGGUCAUCAAAUAUUUGCAGAGAGCCUCUGCAGGGUUGGCUCGAUGCUGUGGAUGUCCACAUGAUGGCAGUGUAUGCCAUGACAGGUCAUGUCAUAAACGUAAAAAUCCCCAAAUGUUACACUGAAAAAUUCCCAUCCUGUACCACAACCAUGGACACGUUAGGCUGUGGAAGUUGCUUUCAGGGUCUUGGGAGUUUCUCCACUUAAUUUAGUUACUUAAACAGAAGAAGGAAAGGAUCUUCCUCACUGAUUUAAUUCAUACUCUUGGCAUUCAUUGCAGAACUGGUUUACUGAGCAGGUGAAAUUUAGGUGGCAAUGCUUUGCCCCAGAGCGUGACCUUGCAGCAGCUGCUUUCCCGGGUGUGCCUGUGUUUAUUCGAAUAGGAAGAAGAGUCCAGGACCAUCUGUCCCUGUGUGUUCCUGCAGUGCUUAGUGCUGACAGAUGAAAUGUAUCUGUAAUGCCAAAAAAAAAAAUAAUAACGUUUCAGGCUUCCAAACACAUGAUAUAUGAGGAAAACAUGGCAAGAGCCCAGCAAGUGUUGCAGAGUAAUGUGAGCUGCCUGGAUCCCAUCUGACCACACAUGUCUCGAGGAUGAAUUUAUAUCUGGAAGCAUUUAAUACAGCUGUCUUACGAAUACUUUGCAAUACUUAUUUAAUUUACAGGCUGCUUCCUGUGUAAAAUCCCAGUGGGGUUCAGAUGGAAAUUGCCGGUACCAUCUGAUAAUGUGUUUGCCUGGCGAGCAGUGUGGGUCCUGUGCAGGGACCGCAUCCCCUGGUGGUGUGAGCAAGCUGCUCUCACCCCUGGUUCUGCUGCUCCCGUCGUGCUUGGCAGCAUGUGAGACAGUACCACCACCAGACUGCGAUGGACAGAGAUAUUUCUGAUUUCAACUCAAGAGCUGCAUCUCGCAUCUGAAGAGGGGACAGGCAGCUGGAGCUUGCAGGCGUUUGCCCGGGCUGCCCCGGCGCAG